rnacentral:rRNA from 1 species
UGGGGAAUAUUGCACAAUGGAGGGAACUCUGAUGCAGCGACGCCGCGUGAACGAAGAAGGCUUUCGAGUCGUAAAGUUCUUUUAUAUGGGAAGAUAAUGACGGUACCAUAAGAAAAAGCCCCGGCUAACUACGUGCCAGCAGCCGCGGUAAUACGUAGGGGGCUAGCGUUGUCCGGAAUCACUGGGCGUAAAGGGUUCGCAGGCGGAAAUGCAAGUCAGGUGUAAAAGGCAGUAGCUUAACUACUGUAAGCAUUUGAAACUGCAUAUCUUGAGAAGAGUAGAGGUAAGUGGAAUUUUUAGUGUAGCGGUGAAAUGCGUAGAUAAUAAAAAGAAUACCGGUGGCGAAGGCGACUUAAUGGGCUCAUACUGACGCUGAGGAACGAAAGCGUGGGUAGCAAACAGG